CUGGCUCAGGAUGAACGCUAGCGACAGGCUAACACAUGCAAGUCGAGGGGCAGCACGGGAGUAGCAAUACAACUGGUGGCGACCGGCGCACGGGUGAGUAACGCGUAUGCAACCUACCUAUCAGAGGGGAAUAACCCGGCGAAAGUCGGACUAAUACCGCAUAAAACAGGGGCACCGCAUGGUGAUAUUUGUUAAAGAAAUUCGCUGAUAGAUGGGCAUGCGUUCCAUUAGGUAGUUGGUGAGGUAACGGCUCACCAAGCCGACGAUGGAUAGGGGAACUGAGAGGUUGGUCCCCCACACUGGUACUGAGACACGGACCAGACUCCUACGGGAGGCAGCAGUGAGGAAUAUUGGUCAAUGGGCGGGAGCCUGAACCAGCCAAGUCGCGUGAAAGGAAGAAGGAUCUAUGGUUCGUAAACUUCUUUUGCAGGGGAAUAAAGUGCAGGACGUGUCCUGUUUUGUAUGUACCCUGAGAAUAAGGAUCGGCUAACUCCGUGCCAGCAGCCGC
rnacentral:rRNA from 1 species